UACAGAGGUCUCAAGCGUUGUUCGGAUUCAUUGGGCGUAAAGGGUGCGUAGGCGGCGCGGUAAGUCGGGUGUGAAAUCUCCGGGCUUAACUCGGAAAGGUCAACUGAUACUGUGCGACUAGAGUGCAGAAGGGGCAACUGGAAUUCUCGGUGUAGCGGUGAAAUGCGUAGAUAUCGAGAGGAACACCUGCGGCGAAGGCGGGUUGCUGGGCUGACACUGACGCUGAUGCGCGAAAGCCAGGGGAGCGAACGGG
rnacentral:rRNA from 1 species